CGGACAGGUACUUAACACAUCGACAAGUCGAACGGUUGUAGCAAUCAGCAGUGGCGCACGGGUGAGUAACGCGUGGAUAUCUGCCUUUGGUUCGGAAUAACUCCGGGAAACUGGAGCUAAUACCGGAUGGUUCCUGCGGGAUAAAGAUUUAUCGGCCAAAAGAUGAGUCCGCGUACGAUUAGCUAGUUGGUGAGGUAAAUGGGCUCACCAAGGGCGACGAUCGUUAGCUGGUCUGAGAGGACGAUCAGCCACACUGGGACUGAGACACGGGCCCAGACUCCUACGGGAGGCAGCAGUGGGGAAUAUUGGACAAUGGGGGCAACCCUGAUCCAGCCAUGCCGCGUGAGUGAUGAAGGCCUUCGGGUUGUAAAGCUCUUUUGGCGGGGACGAUGAUGACGGUACCCGCAGAAUAAGCCCCGGCUAACUUCGUG
rnacentral:rRNA from 1 species